AAUAAGUGCAGUUUUGCACCGUUCGUCUUAUUUGAAAUUUUGUUAUGAUCAGUAUUUUUAUUGUUAUUAGAUGAUAAAACAUGAAUUAUACUUUAUGUGUGACUAAUUUUUUUUUAUUUUUUUCAUAAAUUUUUCAAAUAAGACGGACGGUCAAACAUUGGACACGGAUACCCACGACUGUACUUAUU
rfam:Oryza punctata chromosome 1, whole genome shotgun sequence.